CACCAGAUUUUAAAGAUUUAGGUGCCAAAAAUAUGUAAAAUAUUUCAGUAAUAUCUUUAUAUUAAUUACGUUAUGACAAUAUUUGGGGUACAUUUGGUUAACAACUAUUAGUGCCAACUGUUCUUAUUUUUUGAAAUAAGCUUCCUAGAAAAAUUUUUUUAAUUUUAUAUGUGGCUCACAUUAUAUUUCUGCUGGUCAACACUGUUCUAGAACAGUCUGCUUGAAGUGGCGUGGUGAUCAAAGGAAUGCAGCUGCCCCCAUGUUCACUACCCUCUGCCUCUAGAGUCUGCUGGGCUUGCCAUGCCUCACAUACUGACGCCUCACCAGGUGUCGCACGCUCCGAUGUCUCGGCAUUGGAGGCACAAUCAGGGGCCCGGAGACACCUGGAGGCUUCUAUGCUUGAUUGCUCCACUUGCUUCAUUUGCUUCUCACAGCAGCCUCAGAGAGUGAAGCAGAAGUCUUGAAUCCACUCCAUAUAUGUUAUAUUCAGACAAGAUGGAGAGGGGCUUCUUGGUCUGGCUGUCUGUCCCUGAGAGGCAGAGUCCGUGGCUACAGGAGGAGGCAGGGGCCAUGGGGACGCGCAGGAGGGGCAGGCUGAAGAAGCAGUGGGCUCCACUCUCAGAGGAACUCAGGACCCCGAGAUCAAGAUCCAUGCUGAAAUCAAGAGUCAGAUGCUUAACUGAUUGAGCCACCUGGGUGCCCCUCAGAAGACAUCUUUGAAGUGGUGCCACUCCUGGUCAGAUCAGAAAGAAUAGGGGUCAGCAUGCAAAGAUUGGGAGAGGUCUUACUGGGGAACAGUAUGGGUAGUGAAACUGAGAUGAGAAAGCGUGAGACAAAUUUGAAGAUACUAACACAGAGAAAGGGAGGUGGGAAGAAUGGCAUAGGAUAAGGUUGGAUUUUUUUUCCCCAAAGGACACUGGGAAACCAUUAAAGGAUUUUAAGUGAUGGAACUAAUAGUAUACUAUUUAUAUUAUAUACAUACAAAUUUUUAGAUUUUAAAGAUCACUCUGGCUGUUUUGUGACCAUGGGAUUUAGGGGGAAAGAAAAGAAGGCUAUUUUAGUAAUCUAGGAUUGGUCUGAGGUGUGGUUGAGAAGACAGAAAAACAUGGAUAGAUUUUUAGACAAUAUUUUGGAUCCAAAAUGGCCAAGAUUUGAUAAUAGAUGCUGAGAUGAGCAGACAAAAACAGGCUGUUGCAAUAGGGGUUUUUUGGGCAAAGGAGUAUUAAAAUUAGUUUACAGAAUAUUAGGCUUGAAAUAUUUAUUAGGUACUCAAAUAGAUGUCAAAUCAGCAGGUGGGUGUAUACAAAUCUAGAGGUAAGAGGUCUGAGGCAAGAUAUAUACUUACAGGAAUCAUUACCAUACAUUUAAAGCCACAAGGAAAUACAGAGAAGAGUUCAGAGCAAAAAAGCCCAAGAUCAGGCACCAAGAAACUCCAACAUUUAGAUAUCAGGUAGAUGAGGAAGAACUGGCAAAAGGAUAUUAAAAAUGAAAGGCCAAAUAAAGCACAGAGAAAACAAGGAGUAUGUGGCAGUACAGAAGUCAAAAGACGAAAGACAAUGGUUCAAAUCAAAACACUGCCUAGGGUUCAUGUGAAGAGAAAAGACAAACCUGGCAAAACGGAAGUCCUGGUUAACGCUAUCUAAAGUAGUUUCAGUUUAGCAUAGAGAACAGCAGAUACUGUGAGUAGUGAAGGUAGGGUGUGGAAGUGAAAACAGUGUAUGUAGAUCAUUUUUGGGAAGUCUGGCUGGGAAAGGCAGCAAAGACAACGGAGCAGCUGGAAGAGGGAUGACAGUAGAGGGAGAAUGACCUAGAAGAGUGAGAUCAAUGUGGAAGACAUGCCAGAUAUUUCUGUUGUUCAAAAUAAAGUAAGAGAUGAGGCUGUCAAUGGCUGGGGAGAUGUGAAAUAUGAAUUCACUACAUUUAAAAAAAAUAUCUAGACCAUGGUUUAUGAUCUGGCAGGAAAAUUAGAAAAAGUGGUAAGAGAACAGGAAGUCGAGCUUAGCCCCAAGGGUAAUCCACCCUAAAAUUAUAAAUUUAAUUAACCAUUCCAACGUUACAGGAAAAGUGCUACCAAAUUGCAAACACCUGACUGAAAAAUGUCUAAUUCAUGGAUAUUCUCAUAUAUAGCCGGUUCAAUUAAAAUAUCUUUAUAUUACCUACCCAGCCACUGUUAGACACUGAAGUUCAGCUGCAAUUCUUAUAGGAUGACUUGUUGGAAUUAAGUGUUUUAGAGCAAUUUUCUCUUCAGGUCCUACUCGUAACUGUGCUGUGGCCAAAUAAACAGAGCUAAAAGUGCCUGUAAAACAAUUUAUUAGAUUUUUCAGUAUUUGGUUUCUUUAAAUGCUAAUGAAAUGAUGCUAAAACAGAUCCUAAAAACUGUUUGGAACCCAUAAAGUUAUCCUAAUCUAUCAUUAAUAUAUUUAAUUAUAUUAAACAUAAAGAGUAACAACAUUUAUAAAUAUAUCUUUCAAUUUUUAAUAAAUUCUUACUGUUCUCAGUUCUUUAUAGGGUAUGUUAAUUUACCAAAGCUCUAGAGUAAAUCUGUUUGCCUGGGAUAGCACAACAUAUUUCCAUGGUCAUGGGCAGCCCAGGUGGCUCAGUGGUUUAGUGCUGCCUUCAGCCCAGGGUGUGAUCCUGGAGACCCAGGAUCGAGUCCAUGUCAGGCUGCCUGCAUGGAGCCUGCUUCUCCUUAUACCCCGCCCCUCUCUCUCUCUGUGUCUCUCAUGACUAAAUAAACAAAAUCUUAAAAAAAAAUUUCCGUGGUCAUAAUCCAUUCUAGUAUUUUUCUAUAAUACUGUCAUUUGAAAUGACUUUAACAUUUGGAUAUAGGUCUAUUAGAAGCAGAAAUAUUUAUAGGAUUUGGGGGAAAAGACAAAAACACCUAUGCUUUUAAAUUUAGCAUUAAACAAAACAAAGGAGUUGGUGGCCAGUUAAAUUUGAGAAAUACGGAGUUAAAACAAAUUGAUAAAUUUUUUUUUAAUUAUUUUAUUUUAUUUAUUCAUAGAGACAGAGAG